GCCGCGGGGACUGGCGGGUGCCUCGGGGAGCGCAGCCCGCACCCUGCGAGACCGAGGGGGGCGUGGGGCCGGAAUGGCUCCCCGGUGGGACAGACCCCGAGCUGGGUCACAGGCGCUGCCGCCUCGGCCGAGGGGCUCGAGCAGGAGCGUCUGUCGUGGGUGUUCGUGCGGUGCCUCCAUCGCUGCCCGGGCGCACGGACCGCCCUGCGCAUCCUUCCGCUGAAGCGAGCCGGAGCCGGGAACUGGCUCCGUCCUUCUGCACAGCCACAUCAGGAGUUUUCCCAGAAGUAGCCAGAAAGCUCCGGCAUUGCGGUGAGCUCCCAAUGCAAGAGCAGGGCUGCCGGGCUGCCGCCGCCGCGUAAAAUGCUAAAUCACGGCUCUGCGUAGUGGCCAUGACUGGUCCCUUGGCAGCCUCGCCCGCGGGCAGCCUCCCGAGCUCAGGGGAGGCAAGGCUGACGUGUGGUACUGUUGUACUGCACUGAGACGCGGUUCUUACAUGGUACCGCAAACUGCAAACGCGGCCGAACCUCCCCCCGUCCCGCCCGGUGCAACUCCCGGCCCGUUCUGGGCGCCUGAGCCGGGCGGCAGCUGCUGCGCCCCUGGGGCAAGGCAGGCGCCGUGUUUGCCGAAGCACAAUCGCCUUUUAGGGGAACCGAGCGCCUUGGCAGCGGGGGCUCAGCAGCCCCGCCGGCCCCACCGCGCGGCACCAGCGUCUCCUGCUGUCCCCGAGCCCGGCCUUGGGGCAGGACCGGGCUGUCCCAGCGCAGACCCGCUGCCCGCAGUAUACACGAGAUGGCGUGCCAUCGGGAAUGACCGCGGCUCCCUCGGGGACCAGGCACAGACGGCCCUCGCCAGGGCAGGACUCACUGCUGGAAGCAUCGCCCAGCCGGAGGAAGGAGAGAGCACCAGGAGAAAGGGAGGAACAGCACCUCUGGUUCGACGGGCUUUCCAAAUGUGGAAGAAAGAUGUGAAGCCUUCAUGCAAGACCAGAAUUCCUCCCGCUGCUCAAAACUCUCUCAAACCACUUCUCUGUAUGAGACCUGGCAAAUGCCCAUUGUGCUUCAGAGAGGCAAGGCUGCAGGGCCAGCUCUUGGCAGAUUGUAAGAGAAGACUCCUUCACAAAAGCCUAGAGCUGUGUUAAGCAGAUCACUUGUUUCACAAUAAGCAAGCCCAACCUUCUCCACCCUUGUUUGAGCCCCCUGAUGCUGGUAAGCCAAUCCCUGGUGUGUGGAACGACAGAGCCCUGCACAGAGGCACACGGGGCACUGAAAAAUUUAUCUCCUCUUCUGAAGAAGCUGCCAACCAGAGGUUUGAUGUAUUAUGUAGUAAUGCACAAGCCCUCCCACCAGUCAGAGACUGCUCCAGCCCUAUCAGAAGGAUUGAUAACCACAUCACCCCUGUACUGCAGAGCCAGCUCAGACACUAAUUCCCAAGGGCUGGACCACAACACUGAACUUUUACACGAAGAAGUAAUGUGAAGUGCUGUGGGCUGUAAAAUACAGUGAGGUUGUUGUGGGAGAGGAUUGGCGACACAUCCACCUGCAAUGGCUGUGCGUCUCAGGCAGUGAAGCAGGACACAGAUGGUAGCUGCUCUGCAUAACAGUGACCAAGUUUAGCAGAGAAGACAUAAUGCCAUGUCUCAAAUACUGCUUUUUAUUAGCACAUCUGUGUGUGGAUUCAGGGAAAGAGACUUCAUGAUGAUCAGCAUUUCAAUGGAAAAGUUAGAGUAUCUGUCCUGACAUUUCCAUAAACCAGGCAAAAGAAAUUGUAACAGCUGUAGGUGUUCAGUGAAGGCAUAAAGCCCUUAAACACCAUAAGUCAGUCCGGGUUCAUCCCUCUCUGGAUGCUGAACCAUAAUCCCUAAGUGCCCAGCACUCACAGAGGCUUAAUCCUUUUCAACAAUGGGAUGAGCUGGAGGCUAUAUCCUUUCAAGAUUUGCAUAACACCCCAGCACACAUGUCUUUUGGGAGGAUAAGAGCUACUUAGUAUGUCCUGCAUUCAUAUUUUUGCAGCCAUUUGGUUUAUAUCCAUGUCUCUCUCCCCAGUGGGAAAUCCCAAGCUGAUGACAUUGCCCUCAACCCACCACUGUGCUGGUUUUGGGCUUCCCAGCUGGCUCAGCCCAGCAGAAAGCAUUUCUGUGUCCUGGGUGCAGCCCUUGCCCUGUCACACAAUGCAUCUUGUUGGAGCCAUCCCAGUGUGACCCCCAAACACACACAGGGUCUGUGCCCUCUAAAGAUACAGCAGCAGAAACGUGUAAGAACAUGAGAACUGGGGCAGUUGUGUGGGGAAGGACAACGGCUGACUGGUUUCUCAUGAAAGCCAAGCCACAGCAUCCUGGUGUGAGCCAGGCUCACAGUGCUGUGAACCUUGACUCACCCUUUCUAUGUGCAAUUCUUGUGCUGCAUCCUUACCUUGAGGGUGAUUCACCACAGAACUCCACAGUCACUGCUCCAUUGCUGCAGCACUCCAGCAUGCUGUGUUUCAAUUGGGUCACCUGGAUACUGCACCCACUGGAAUGGAGUUUACUUUGGAACAAAACUGGGUUCUGGUGAGGUUCCUACUUCCUUUGAAAGGGAGAAGCAAUCCUGACAUCAGCUUUCCUCACUUUAAUUACUCUCAGUGUUUUCUUCAUGCCAGCAAUCUCUCAUGGAUACAAUAAUCAAUUCUCAGGAUUUGAGAAUUGGAUAGGAGAACAACUAAUACAUCUGAGCUGAAAAGAGAAAAAAUGUAUGAAAUAGAGAAAAAGCCUACAAUGACAAUUAGCCCAAUCUUCAGUUGUCAGCUGAUAUCCUUGCAUCUUCCUUUUCCAUCAGCUGUUUCUCUGACCUUCUUUUGCAAGCCCUAUAGCAGCUUCCUCUGCAAACUGGCAGAUCCACAGAGUUCCCUCAGCUCUUCUUCAGCAGUACAAGGCACUUGUGUCCAGCUGCAAAGACUUUCAUUUUGCCAGGGACAUAUUCCAACAUUAUUAACUCUGGUGUGUUCAACAUAACUUUUAGCCUCAUGACACUUUUACUAAUCUACAGUAGCAACACUCUAAAGUCCACACACAUAUGGAUCAUCCCUAACCCCCUGCUUGGGAGAGCAGAGUUAUAACAAGGAACUGAGGAAGGAACUUGGAAAUGUAACAACGUACAAGUCAGAGUGGACAUUCUUAAAGCCUGUCCCAAAAAACAUAAUUAUUUUGCCUUGUCCAUUUCUUUCUACAAUGUGCACAUAAUAUUUUCCCUUGCAUAACAACAUACAAGAAUCUGUAAGAAAUACAUUUUAAGGAGUGACUUGUCUUCCUCUGCCUGCUUCAUUUACUGUUUAAACAAUUCUGCCUCUGAGAAUGGCACUGGAAAUACAAAUCUGGCACUUGCAUGAUAAAUACCUGAUACUGCAAUGUUGAAAUACCCCCAGAUCUGUCACCAGAGCCAUUGCAUAAAACUCAUUCAACCAACAGAGGCAGAGUGCAGGCACACCUCAGCAGCUAGACUCAUCCACUUAUAGUGUUUAUGCAAACCUGGUCAAUGGGGUGGAGUCAAAAUCAGUAAUAUUGUAAUCUUACAAGAAAACACAAAAUGUCCUCAUCUCAUUUAACUGCUGCAUCAGUUUAGCCACUGUGUGCUUGGGGAUGCGUCUGUGCUAGAAAAGUGAUGUUGAUUUUCCAUCCCUUGUCUAGUUACAAGUUUCACCACAAUCUGCAAACACCUGGAGUACUAAAACCAUGCAGAGGCCAAGUACCUGCUGCUGGACAGCACUUCAGAAUGGGCAAGAUCUGAGAAAUACAAAAAGCCCAGAAGAGACUGUCAGUCAGAGAACAAGUGCCUUCCAGGGCUGCUCACCUUCAGCCUCACCCCUGGGAGGCAAUGGGCCCAAGGGGUGCCCUCCAAGUGCUGCCUCAGCAGCUCUUAAGAAAGACUUACAAGUGAGGGGAAAUCCUUCACAAAUAUUGCUGUAGAGCAACGUAGGGCAGAGUAUUAGCUUGCCCAAGAUAAGCAGAGUGAGAACCAGAGCCAGACCAGAGUUUUGCAGCACCAGACCCACAAAGAACCCUUGGUACCAUAGAUUCCAGCCUGUGCAUGGUGCCCAAGGAGGCACUGCUGGCCUCCAUCUCAGACUCCUGGCUCUUCAGGACAAUGAGCCACCCAUGGAGCACAGAGGGAGUUAAAGAGGGAACAUUUGGAUGAAAAUUCAUACCUCAGUUUCAGAAGAGGUGGGGGAGGGGGGAAUAUACUCAUAUUCCUCAAAAAUGCUGUGGCUAAAGCAUGCUUAGAGCAGGCACCCACUAGGGCACAGUCAGGGGGACACAUACACAGUUCUGCAGAGCUCAGUACAGAAACAGGCAGGAAAUGAGAACAAACAUGAGCUUACAAUGGGAUUAUCAUUUAAAAAUGCUGCCAUAAAAAAAGACACCCAAAAGAAGACAGGUAUUAUUCAUCCCCAUCAUGCCCUCCUGUCAAAGAAAAGGGAAGGGUUGGCUGUCAAAUGGUAUCUUUCAGAUUUAGAUUUUUUUGGUUUUUUUUGGUUGGGGGGAGGCAGGUAAGCAAACCAAAACACAAAGACAAAUUUGUAUUUAUUUUCCUAUCUAGUAUACCAUAGUACUUUCCAUUAACCUUAAAAUUAAAAAAAAAGAACAAAAAAAAAAAAAAAAAAACAAACAAAAAACCCCCAACAUUGAUAAAAUAAGAGCUGCUGGUAUUAGUAGGAAGAAUUUUGUGACAGGCGACUUCCUGCUAUUAGCCCCUUGCACACAAUGCUGUGGAAGAGAGAGAGGUGAAAAAACACUGCUAUAAGCACUAAGGCCAUUUAAUCCUUAACAUGGGAAUGUAUUUCUGCUCUUUUUCCCUCCCUAGAUUCAUUUUAUGUUCCCAUCAGAAGGUUAAUUGUGUUAACAGGAGUUACAGCCACAGGGGAAAGAUGUGAUUGAAUGCUGAGUGCAGUUUUAGCUGAUAACCUCCGAGUGAGUGAAAGGGCACAAAGAGGGGUUGAUCUCCUCUAAAGGGGUUGUCAGUCAUUCAGGAAAAAGUGCAGCUCUGGGAGAAACAGCCUUAUCUCCCAGGACACGAAGAAGAGAAGCUAUCAAAAUAAUCAUGAAGCUACACUCAUGCCAGGCUCUGUGGCUGUGGCUCUGACACUGGAGUUAAGCGAGAAUAACAGGCUUUUUUGUGUAUGUGAGCAAGCAGACCCUGACUUGAUGCACAUUCUUGAAGACUGAUUAGAUUGCAUGAAUAUGUAUAAUUAACAACAGACCCCAAAUAAUUAUACCUCUAAAAAGGAGGCAUGAAAUCUUGACAUCUUCUAGCUUGAUAGCACAACUCCUGUGCUCUCCAUCUUUUGCUGGAUUGGAGACAUGAUUGCAUGCCAAGAUUUUAGGUAAGACUGUCUGGGAAAUCGUUCACACACAUUUACACUUAAUCAAAAAGGUCCAUAAAAGGGUCCUUUGUAUGAAAAGCAAGGCAUUCUCCCCAUGCCCACGUCUGAACUCAUCCUGCUAGGAUUUACAGGAAGUAGCUUGGAGAAGAAGGGCUAGUGUUUUUUAAGAUUGAAUAUUUGCAUAAACUGUAGUUGAUGAGAGUGGGCAUUUGUGGAAAUGUUUGCACUCAUAGAGACAGGACAAAGGACCAAGGUAUAUUUCAGUGCUAGAAUACAAGCAGUGAAGUUUGUGACUGAUUUCUCAAAGGUGCACUGGAAAUUCCAGAAACAGAAAGCCUUCUCCUCCUUUGCACUCCAGGUCUACCUUAGAAACGCCUUAUGAGCACUCCAGAAAUUAUUUUAGCUGCUGUUACCAGCUGAAUUGCAGUUGUCUUUUUCUACCUUGUCAAAAAUGCAGCUGCUUGUCCAGAUAAAGCCAUAAUAUAAAAAUGUAGUCCUGCAAGAGAGAAAUAAGUAGAUGGGGAAAAAAUACUUAGAUUUUUUGUUUAAAAUGCCCAAGUCUAAGCCUGGCAAUCUUUUUCCCCAAAGCAUUUAAGUGCAAAAAAAGUUCUGUAAUAUUAACAUCCGCAGUGCAACUUGAACAAAGCAACUAAAAGGCUUAUUGACUUGGUAGCAGGGAAAGCCAGUUUGAAAUAUUUGAUCCUAUCACCAGCUAAGCAAGUAUGUGUAAAGUGUAUAGCCUGCACUUGUUGAUUUCUGAGAUAAAAAUCAAUAAAACUGUCCAUAACCUAUAACUCUUUGGUUUACCUCUCCAUAGAGAUCAAAAGAGAGUAAUUAGAUUUCUGCCUGACUAGCAGGGGUAGAAAACUGUUUCAUUUUGGAUCAAAACCUUCCCAGUGGAUUACACCUUCUAUCCACUGCCUAUCAACACUUAACAAUUGCUUCUGUAUUUGACUUUGACAGAACUACCAGAAUGUUACCAUCUAAUUUUCAGUGCAGUUGAUAGAGGGCUUGGAUGCUUUAUUCUAGUGUCAGGUUAUAAAAUUAAUUCUUCUCACUUCAUAUUUUACAUUUUUACUCUGGCUAGUGCUUUGUAAAAGCCGGCCUUGCUAAUGUGAUUAAUAAUUAAAAAACAAAACUACAAUACUCAUCCUACCUCUAAUUUACAACAAGAAAAACCCCUUUAUCUAUUAUUGAUGAUCCAGCCUUUGUAUUCAGAUAUCACUCUAAACAAGCUGUUGUCUGCCUUGGAUUGUCCUUGCAUUUCAUAUUCAAAUGAGGUGGACGCUAUUGCAUAUAUUUUCAUUUGAUGACAUUUUAAUAUCACCAGAUGCUAUUGCCUGCCUAGGAGAUAACUGUUCCAAAUACAGCCUUCUUCCCCCUCUAAGCACAGUGGUAUUAGGUGAUGAGCAGGAAGCAGGUCAUGCUUCAAAAUAACAUUUUAUAACACUUGUUACUAUCACAGUGUUCUUGCAUUUUAACAGUCCAAGAGACUCAGUAUUAAUGUUUAUUUUAAAGAGAAAUGUCACUCUGCAUUUUGAUCUUUCUUAACUAAGCAGCUUUUUGAACAGGCUAAGAGCAUGAAAUACCAAAUAACAAAUAGCACUCACAACAACUUCACAUCCUAGAUAGAGAUUAAAUAUGCUGGAAAAUAUGUGACAGUUAUGUUGCAUGUAAUGAGCUGUGGUGAUGGACAGAUGCAAUAAAUUCAUGCCCUGAUGCAGAGGGCCUUGUCAGAUGAAGCCCAGACCACAGACAGUCACCUGAAGUCUUCCAACACCUCCAAGUCUACUCAAAGUAAGCUUUUGAGGACAUUUUGCUUUCUUAUUUGCUCACAAGACUAUCAAACCUCCCCAUUCUCACAGCUAUGAGACUUUAGAAAAUAAAAACUAGCCUCAUUUUUAAGGAAGAGCUGAAGCUUGCAGUAUUUGAAUGUGGCCACAAGGUAUACUUGUACAAAAGUAUUACACAAAGUUUGACCUCACCCUGAGUGUAUGGAUUUAGACUGAAACUCCCAGGAGCUGGAACAUCUUUUACUAUACCUUGAGCAGGAAAAAGCACCCUAACCUCUAAAAAGGAAGGUAUAACUAACAUUUUGGGGUUUUUGCUUCCUGUGGUUUCUGUGUCCCUGCACAAUGCUGGGACAGAGAGAGAGCGGUUUGCAGCCUUGGAGGGCUUUUUUUGUGGCACUACACCCUGACACCAAGAAAAUCUUCAAAUGGUGGCAGAAACUGGAGUUAAAGUAGGUGCAUUCUGCCACUUUUCGUCCAGUGACCACUAUAGAGAAACCUAGGACAACUGCUAUGCAAACAGACUGCCUGACCCCUCCAGGGGCAGGACUCCUCUGGACUAUGGAGGAGUCAACUAACUACUCCAGGAUGUCUUGACAUGCCCCAAGACCUUCUGAGUGAUGAAAUCUCCUCUUGCUUGAUCAAAGCAGUUAAAAAGAGCACACGUCCCAUCAGAUUCACCCAGAGCAGAACACAAGGGCAGAGGCAUCCCAAGCUCCAGACCUUACAGCUACGUUCCACGAGAGGCUGGCAUUUUGCUCAUGUUCAGAAGCAAAACAGACACUUUCCUUUCCCUGGAAGCCACAAAAGUUAGAGCCCAGACUCUUGCUGAUGUGGCCCUACUAUUGCACUUCAGUUCAACCACACAGCCCAGGCUCAGGCAGAUUUGGCACUGUACCCCCCAGUGUGACACUAAUAGAUCCAGGACAGACCCAGCAUCUCCACCGAGGGAGUUCUUGCCACUGCAAAAGUUUUGGGUGUUUCCACAGAGGGCAUGCCUGCUCUCUGUCAUGCCUGAAACAGGGACAAACGUCAGUGCUCACCCCCAAAGGCAGAGAAAGGGCUGCACUCUGUGCUGUGAUAAUGGUGCUCAGCAUGCUAACAUCACCAAGCAGCAGGGAAAUGCUCUGCGUUUGCAAAUUCAUACACAAGAUGGUACAGAUUGCCCCGCUUGCUUUGUCCUUGCCCAGACUCCCAUCUGAUCUCCAAAUCCCAGCAGUUUUCACUGCAGAGGCCAGACAACACCAUGUCUGCCCAAGUGCUGCUCAUACACCUGAGCAGUGGGUUCUGGUGGCUUUGAAUAGAGAUGUGAUUGUGAAAUGUGGCAGUAAAUAUUGCUAACUUAAACAGUUUUGAGAGCCUUUUCUUUAACCUCAGUAUUGUCAGCUGCUUUCCAUCCACUCUUCUCAAUUUUAAAUAAGAUUCAAUUCUAUCCACAGUUUUAUUUUUCACUUAGCAAAAUACCUUUUUAUCCAAUCUUUAUCCUGCAUCAGUUUCCAUUAAAUCCUGAUGAUAUCCAUUAGCAUGAAAAAGAGUCAUGCUCUAUGCUAUGCUAUUUCUAUUCUAUAUCCAUUGAAGACUUACACAGGUAGAAAAAACAUUAUGUGCAGGCCCACAGAACAAUUUCCAAUUGAUAAAGCUGAUCUAAGGUAGUCCCACCCUUCUGAUGCAAUUCACUGGUUUGACCCACUGGAGUGACAAAACUACCAAAUGAAAUGUUCAUUAAAUUGCUCCUAUUAAAAAAUGACACAGGUCUCAAAAAUAAUAUUUUUAGAGAGUUACUGCUUUAUCUUAAAUUUUAUACUAUCAGAAUGGCUCAGGUGGUUAAACUGAACAAGGAACACUUUGUCUAUGUUCACCACUUAAGAAAUCAUUACAAAAACAAAGCUGCAUUUUGCUGCAAUGUAGAUGUGCCAGAGGGAUCCAGUCCUUAACUGCACACAAAACCCAAGUCUUCAUUCUGACCUUUUGAAGGGCAUAAAAUAGAUACUUGAGGAUGGGGGAAAGAUAAAGCACUUGUCCUCAUGCCUAGUUUUAAGCAGUAGCUUCCACGUUUUGCUGAAUUGGGAGCGGUGACUUAAUUGUGAAAUUAUUUGUAUUUGAAGGCAGUCAUUUCAUUAGGCAACCUUAGCACCUGAGGAGGACAGCUAAGCUAGAAGUGGCACUAUAUUAGUACAAAGCCAUUGUUCACCUGACAUCUCUGGAAAGAUGUUUGGGCACUUCGUGUUCUCUCCAUUGAUUCCAAUUUUGCUGGCGAGAAGACUAUUCCUCAUCAGUGCCCCCUGUUUUUCCCCUGCCUCAUUCUGCUUUCUGCUCUAGAAAGGAGGCAGCUUCCUGUCUUUAAUAAAGUCACACCAGUCAAGAAGCACUCUUUUGACAUAACAGGCUGCAACAUAACAGACUUGGAAAAGUCAGCAACUGCCCCUUGUUCUGCAGUGCACCUUGCUCUCCACUCUCCCUCUGGCCAGCAGCUCAUUGUGCGACAGGGACACACUGUUCCCUUUCCAUGGGUACCCAUCCUGGUGCUGCUGUCUGUCUGCCUCAGCCUCGCAGGCAUAGGAAUUGCACAUAAGCUAUUUCCAGGCAGGCAGUGUUCUUAGACCUUUCUCUAUAGAUGCCAAUUAGAAGAUUAGCGUCUUUUCUCUCCCCCUCUUUGCUAUUAAAUAGUCACACAAAAGCUGAGCUGACAAAUUGCUCUCUCUAUGGUGUGGGACAAAGACAGACAAUAGAUCAACAUCAUUUCCUAUACUCAAAUCCUAUUAAUCACAGAUUAAUGAGAACAUGUCUGGGGGGGAGAAAUUACCCGAAUGUGGGCAUAUUGUCUUGUUACUCAUGUAACAUCUGCCGUGGCUUUACCUUUAGUGGCAUGUCAUCCUUUAUCACAUUGAAAUAAUGUUUGUUCCAGAAACAUAAUUAUGAUAAUGGGUCCUUCCUUUAACAAUUACUGAGGUACAGUAGGAUUAUAUUUCUUAUUCACUUGGUUUAAAAAAUAGGUAUCUCUUAACUAUUUUCUGAAUGCUUCUAUUAUUCAUUAUCUGAUUAAGGAAGAUAUGUUUAUAGGCAUUAAUAGAAACUUGUUAUUCUUUUUAUUAUUAUUAAUUAUAAUUUUAUUAAUUACUUCUCUGAAAAAUCAUAUGUGCAGAAGUAAAGCUAGAGUCUAGCUUUUAGUUUUUACACUUAAAAAACUAUUUCUGUUUUGGCUCUUAAACAACUGCUAAUUUUUCAUUAAUUCACAUUACAGCAGUAUUAGACCACGAUGUUUGUUUUGCAAAAUGUGCACUUUUCUAGCUAUCUUCUUAAAAUAAUUCUAUAGCUGAAUAGCAUAUCGAUUUGUUCACAUAUUUUCUCAUCUAUUGUUGCCAUUGAUAAGGAAUACUGUUCAGGGCAGCAGCUCAGCAUGUAUAAUUGCCUCAGAUCAUUUCACUGCUCAGCCUGGAUACAAAUUCAAAGUUUUGCGUUUAUCUAAUUAGAAUUCUUUGCAACAAUUCCUAAUGUUAUCCUCAAUACGAAACGGGAUGCUUCACAGAUAAAUAGCAAAGCAAUUACAGCUAUAAUGAGCCGGCAAAUAAAGAGGAACUGCAGUCUA